rnacentral:rRNA from 1 species
UACGGGGGGGGCAAGCGUUGUUCGGAAUUACUGGGCGUAAAGGGCUCGUAGGCGGCCAACUAAGUCCGACGUGAAAUCCCCAGGCUUAACCUGGGAACUGCGUCGGAUACUGGAUGGCUUGAAUCCGGGAGAGGGAUGCGGAAUUCCAGGUGUAGCGGUGAAAUGCGUAGAUAUCUGGAGGAACACCGGUGGCGAAGGCGGCAUCCUGGACCGGCAUUGACGCUGAGGAGCGAAAGCCAGGGGAGCAAACGG